CCAGCAAUGAUGAUUGGCGCAGGGGUACGGACAUCAGCUGUAUCAUGGGAGCUGAGUGUAAAUGCUUGUUCUCUGUUUAGCUUGCAUGUGGUGGCUUAAUGGAGGCUCAUUUAUACUAGAAAAAAGCCAUAGUCUGAGCUGG
ensembl:snoRNA small nucleolar RNA, C/D box 94